CUGUUGGGUCCCCAGUAAGAAAGGGACAUUCAGCCAGGCAGUUCUACAGUGUGUUUCCAUCUCUGGGGAUCAGUCUCCUGAGAGGAGGGUGUUGAUGUUUUCAGAUAAGAAAGGAAUGCAUCUCCCUGUGACUCCCAGGGCCCAUGACUGCAUUUGGGUGGUGUCUGAAUUGCAAAAUUAAUGAAAGGCACACUACUCCAUGUAUUGACACGUCUGAAGAUGAUGAGGCACGAACGUGAAUUGCAUCUGUCUCCUCCCCACGUCCCCUGAUGACAUGCUGAGUGGAUCCCAUAGGUUGCUGCUCUAGUUGGAUAUAGAAAGGUCCAGUUUUAUCUCUUGUUUCAUUUCCUCCCUCUGCCCUGCACAGGUUUGACUCGGCCCGAGGGGUUUGAAGUGAAGAGAGAACUUGGUCUGUCUGAAGGAUCCCUUCUCCUCCUCCCCCUUCUUUCUCCCCUCCUCUCUCCUCAGGCAACCCCAGGAACAUCACUGACACUGUGGCACAGCCCUGGGAUGGCCUGCACACAGAAGAUGACGUGAGGGUGUUCCAUGGAGUAUGCGGCAGCCCUGUGUGCUGGGACAGAAAAAAGGGACUGGAGAAAAGGAACACGUUUGUUUUUACUCAACCAGAACUGCGCGAGUCCUCUCUCAGCGAAUACUGGUUCGUCUGCACGCAUGCCAGCACAGCUGCCAACCUGGAACACAGCCCUUUCCAAGAAAGCCCAGGAGAGCAGCCAACUGUUGACUCACCUGCCAGACACGGGGAUACUGCAGCCAAGAUGCCUCGGGGCCCUUGCAGGAGGAUUGGCAGGGCAGACCCAUGGUGGGGCACACACACGCGGCUCUGUGGGGUGCUUCAAAGGGCCAGACCUUCUUUCCUGAGUGCUUCAAGUUCCAGAGGUUAAAGACAACCAGAUGGGCUUGUCCCCUCCCCCUCCUCCUCUGUUCUUCAGCCCUGGAAGUUUCUGCAGGAGACUGUCUUCCUCUGCAUUUCCAUUUGGGUGGCAGGCAGUAUUCUAAGAAAGCCCCCAUGAUUUUCUGCCCCCACUCCUGCCCUGGUGUGCACUCUCCAUUGGGACUGAGAAUGUAAUGGACAGCACUGCUCUGGUUAGAUUGUAUUAUACGAUGCAGCUGACCUUAAAGAAAGGAGAUGUUCCUGGUGGUCUGGUCCAAUCACAAGAUCCCUUUAAAGGCAGAGUUUUUGUCUGGCUGGUGACAGAAGAGCAUGUGAGAGGUUCAAAGCUGGAGGGUUUGGCCCACCCUUUCUGGCUCGAAGAUGGAGGAAGCCCCAUGGCAAGACAUGCAGGCAGCUUCUAGAAGCUGAGUAGCCUCAUGUCCAGCAAAGAACCAGGGGCUUCAGACCCACAAUAGCAAGGAGUUGAAUUCUCUCAACGAUGAACAUGAACUUGCACAUGGCUUCUUCCUUAGAGCCUCAGACAAGAACUGGGUCCAGUGAGCACCUUGACUUCAAAAUUCUGAUACCCUGAGCAGCAAAAACAUCUGAGUUUACCCAGACUGUGACCUACGGAAUGCCACCAUGUUUCAAGGACACUGAAGGGGAGGUCUGCUGGGCAAGAACUGGGGCCUGUCACCAACAACAGUACCAACUUGCCAGCCAUAUGAUUGAGCCACCCUGGAAGUUGACUUCUGGUCCCAGUCAAGCCUUCAGAUGACAUUAGCCCGGGCGGAAAUCUUAACUGCAACCUUGGGAGAUGGAUGGCAGGUCAGAACCACAUAGUCAAGCUUCUCUCCAACUCCUGUCUCACAGAAACUGUGGGAGAUGCUGCAUGUUUAUUGUUACCCUAAGCUAUUACAUUUUGGGGUAAUCAUUAAGCUGUACUAGGUAACUAAUAUGCUAUAGUAAUUAAUACUAAUAUUUAAUUUAACACUAAUAUUUACCCAGGACUUUUCGAGUUGGAAGUGAUGAAAAUCCAGUUCACUGGUGAGAAAGGGAGAGAGAGAGAGAGAG